UCCUUACUUCCUUUGCAGAUAAACCCUGAGAAAUCUAGGGAAGAGUUUCGAAAUGCUGCUAAAAUAAAUGGUGGAACUGGGGUCAAAGAUUUCAUGGAUGGCAUGGGUCUUGGAAUGACUGCAGACCAGGUAUUCAUUGAUGAAUUAGAUGCAAUUGCCCCUGCGAGGAAAGAAGGAGGUGAAGAGCUAUCUAAAAGAUAAAUACUGUUAAUUGACUAAGAAAGUUUCUAAACUCCCUAAUGAGAAAGAAGCUGUUUAAGGGGCAUUAGACAAAUGGACAGCUUGGGAAACAGAGUUUCCAGUUAUUGCAGCAGUUAAGGCUUUAAAAAUCUUGAGGAAAAGGGGUCAGUGGGUUCGUGUAAUUCAAUAAAUGAGGCAGAAUCAUUGUGGAAUAUGAUCAUACAUACCCACUUGUGUAAGAAGUGAAGAAGCAAAGGGAGAAGAAGAUUAUGGAGCUAGAGGAAGACAUAAAAGAAGUUGUUUAUGGAGCUAGAGGAAGACAUAAAAGAAGCUGAAAAA